GGUGUUGGGUUAAGUCCCGCAACGAGCGCAACCCCUGUGGUUAGUUACCAGCACGUAAUGGUGGGGACUCUAGCCAGACUGCCUACGCAAGUAGUGAGGAAGGUGGGGACGACGUCAAGUCAUCAUGGCCCUUACGACUAGGGCUGCACACGUGCUACAAUGGAUGGUACAGAAGGUCGCUACUCAGCAAUGAGGUGCAAAUCUUUAAAACCAUUCUCAGUUCGGAUCGGAGUCUGCAACUCGACUCCGUGAAGUUGGAAUCGCUAGUAAUCG
rnacentral:rRNA from 18 species